AAGUCGUAACAAGGUCUCCGUAGGUGAACCUGCGGAGGGAUCAUUAACUUGUAUGUUGAUUUUUGUGUGAUUCACUUCACACAUUUCAACUAUCAAACCAAAACAAACAAACCCCGUGAAUGUGAGCAAUUCAUUUUGCUCAUUUCCUCCCGCAUUUGAACAUCGAAACGGAGCAUUUAGUUGCUGCCCAGUUGGCAAUGGCAUCGGAUGGUGUCGCCAGCCUCGUUAUUCGAAUUGCGGACCAUUUUUCACACACAAACCUAUUUCACCCAUUCGUACAACCCAUUGACUGAAACGAAAGGCGAUUGCUCUGUUUUACGCAGCGGCAAUAACCUGCACCUUCGAGUUUAUUCGAAAUCUAAGCACAACUCUUAGCAACGGAUAUCUUGGUUCUC
rnacentral:misc_RNA from 1 species